UACGGAGGGUGCGAGCGUUGUCCGGAAUCAUUGGGCGUAAAGGGCGCGUAGGUGGCCCGGUCAGUUCGUGGUGAAAGCGCGGGGCUCAACCCUGCGUCGGCCAUGAAUACUGCCGCGGCUGGAGCACUGUAGAGGCAGGCGGAAUUCCGGGUGUAGCGGUGGAAUGCGUAGAGAUCCGGAAGAACACCGGUGGCGAAGGGCGGCCUGCUGGGCGAGUUUAGCUGGACACUGAGGCGCGACAGCGUGGGGAGCAAACAGG
rnacentral:rRNA from 1 species